rnacentral:rRNA from 1 species
GUGGGGAAUUUUGGACAAUGGGGGCAACCCUGAUCCAGCAAUGCCGCGUGCAGGAAGAAGGCCUUCGGGUUGUAAACUGCUUUUGUACGGAACGAAACGGUCUGGGUUAAUACCCUGGGCUAAUGACGGUACCGUAAGAAUAAGCACCGGCUAACUACGUGCCAGCAGCCGCGGUAAUACGUAGGGUGCGAGCGUUAAUCGGAAUUACUGGGCGUAAAGCGUGCGCAGGCGGUUUUGUAAGACAGGCGUGAAAUCCCCGGGCUCAACCUGGGAAUGGCGCUUGUGACUGCAAAGCUGGAGUGCGGCAGAGGGGGAUGGAAUUCCGCGUGUAGCAGUGAAAUGCGUAGAUAUGCGGAGGAACACCGAUGGCGAAGGCAAUCCCCUGGGCCUGCACUGACGCUCAUGCACGAAAGCGUGGGGAGCAAACAGGAUUAGAAACCCCGGUAGUCC